UCUUUGCUAGUGUAUCGGUUAGUACACGCGCCUGUCAUAGCUAAUCGUACGCGCGAAAGCUGGGUUCGACUCCCAGGCAAAGAG